CCUACGGGAGGCUGCAGUGGGGAAUAUUGCGCAAUGGGCGAAAGCCUGACGCAGCGACGCCGCGUGAGGGACGAAGGUCUUCGGAUUGUAAACCUCUGUCAGUAGGGAAGAACGGUCACUGUGCUAAUCAGCAGUGAAUUGACGGUACCUGUAAAGGUAGCACCGGCUAACUCCGUGCCAGCAGCCGCGGCAAUACGGAGGGUGCGAGCGUUAAUCGGAGUUACUGGGCGUAAAGCGGUCGUAGGCGGUAUGUUAAGUCAGGGGUGAAAUCCCCGCGCUCAACGGGGGAACUGCCUUUGAGACUGGCAGACUAGAGUGUGUGAGAGGAUGGUGGAAUUCCAGGUGUAGGAGUGAAAUGCGUAGAUAUC
rnacentral:rRNA from 1 species